UCAAAUGGAUGAACAGCUAAGGUCGCGCCUUCCUGGCGCAAUGCUGUUCUGACCAACAACCUGUUAG
rfam:Virgibacillus soli strain PL205 scaffold000041, whole genome shotgun sequence.